ACGCACGCUGGCGGCGUGCUUCACACAUGCCAGUCGAACGGAAAGGCCCCUUUGGGGGUACUCGAGUGGCGAACGGGUGAGUAACACGUGAGUAACCUGCCCUUGACUUCGGGAUAACUUCAGGAAACUGGGGCUAAUACCGGAUAGGAAUCCUUGCUGCAUGGUGGGGGUUGGAAAGCUUCGGCGGUUUUGGAUGGACUCGCGGCUUAUCAGCUUGUUGGUGGGGUAGUGGCUUACCAAGGCUUUGACGGGUAGCCGGCCUGAGAGGGCGACCGGCCACAUUGGGACUGAGAUACGGCCCAGACUCCUACGGGAGGCAGCAGUGGGGAAUAUUGCACAAUGGGCGGAAGCCUGAUGCAGCAACGCCGCGGGCGGGAUGACGGCCUUCGGGUUGUAAACCGCUUUCAGCAGGGGCGAAGCUUGUGGUGACGGUACCUGCAGAAGAAGCACCGGCUAACUACGUG
rnacentral:rRNA from 1 species